rnacentral:rRNA from 1 species
AUUGAACGCUGGCGGCAUGCCUUACACAUGCAAGUCGAACAGCAGCAUAGGAGCUUGCUCCUGAUGGCGAGUGGCGAACGGGUGAGUAAUAUAUCGGAACGUGCCCUAGAGUGGGGGAUAACUAGUCGAAAGAUUAGCUAAUACCGCAUACGAUCUACGGAUGAAAGUGGGGGAUCGCAAGACCUCAUGCUCCUGGAGCGGCCGAUAUCUGAUUAGCUAGUUGGUGGGGUAAAAGCCUACCAAGGCGACGAUCAGUAGCUGGUCUGAGAGGACGACCAGCCACACUGGGACUGAGACACGGCCCAGACUCCUACGGGAGGCAGCAGUGGGGAAUUUUGGACAAUGGGGGCAACCCUGAUCCAGCAAUGCCGCGUGAGUGAAGAAGGCCUUCGGGUUGUAAAGCUCUUUUGUCAGGGAAGAAACGGCUGAGGCUAAUAUCCUCGGCUAAUGACGGUACCUGAAGAAUAAGCACCGGCUAACUACGUGCCAGCCGCCGCGGUAA